rnacentral:lncRNA from 12 species
CUUUGUUGCUGUUUCAGGCAAAGAAGCUACUGCUAUGAGGACACCAUGCUUUAAUGAGUCUAACUGAAGGACAAGGUGUAACAAUGGUGGAAUUGGUGAUAGAAAUUGUGUCAGACAAGGAUGAAGAGUAAAACAAAGCUGCUGGUGCUGAAAAUACCUGGCAAUUUUGGCGAGCUGGGAGUGUGGUUCAGCCCUUCCUCUGAGAAAGGGUCUGGCCCAGUAUGGACCCUGAAUAUUGCAACAAAACACCCCCUGAAAGAAGAGAGAGAAGAGAAGAGAAUUCUGUGCCAAGUAGGUAUUUCCAAGUAUGGGAGGCUCAUUUUGCAGAGCCUAAUGAGGGCUGAGAAACCAUGCUACUGGGAUCUGUCCAGGUUCCAUGAGUAAGCCACAGAGAGACUGAUGAAAGCUAAUAAUAGUCUCAAAUUCCUCACUCAAAUUUGUGUUCAUCACAGACUUGGAGUCGUUAGGAGAGCAGCAGCCUCUGCUCUGCAGCAGAGUCCCACCCUCAGCCAUUGUUGCUGUUGGCCACCAUGUGCCAUUAAAAAUGUUGGGAUUUUUGGUUUUUUUGGUUUUUUGUUUUUUUUUUCCCACAAACAUGGCCCCUUAAAAUACUUUUUCUCUGACUUUUUUUUUCAUGAAUGCUUGAAAAA